GACGAACGCUGGCGGCGUGCCUAAUACAUGCAAGUCGAACGAACGGAUAAAGAGCUUGCUCUUUUGAAGUUAGUGGCGGACGGUGAGUAACACGUGGGUAACCUGCCUCACAGCUGGGGAUAACAUCGAGAAAUCGAUGCUAAUACCGAAUGUGCUGAACAUCAUAAGAUGUUCAAGUGAAAGACGGUUUCGGCUGUCACUGUGAGAUGGACCCGCGCUGGAUUAGCUAGUUGGUAAGGUAAUGGCUUACCAAGGCGACGAUCCAUAGCCGACUUGAGAGGGUGAUCGGCCACAUUGGGACUGAGACACGGCCCAAACUCCUACGGGAGACAG
rnacentral:rRNA from 1 species